UUUUCUCUCAUCUACUUAAUGUUCUCUUGAUGCUUUCUUUUGAAAUCAAACAUGAUGUGAGUUGGUCUAGAAUGUUGGAUCACUUCCUCUGAAACAGAACAGAAAGCAGCUGGGUGGGUAGGGACUAUUGGUAUGCUAGCAAGUGCAUGUGUUUAACACAACAUAACCUCUUCAC